rnacentral:rRNA from 1 species
AUUGAACGCUGGCGGCAUGCUUUACACAUGCAAGUCGAACGGCAGCGCGGGCUUCGGCCUGGCGGCGAGUGGCGAACGGGUGAGGAAUGCAUCGGAACGUGCCCCGUAGUGGGGGAUAGCCCGGCGAAAGCCGGAUUAAUACCGCAUACGACCUGCGGGUGAAAGCGGGGGACCGGAAGGCCUCGCGCUAUUGGAGCGGCCGUAGUCGGAUUAGCUAGUUGGGGGGGUAAAGGCUUACCAAGGCGACGAUCCGUAGCGGGUCUGAGAGGACGACCAGCCACACUGGGACUGAGACACGGCCCAGACUCCUACGGGAGGCAGCAGUGGGGAAUUUUGGACAAUGGGGGCAACCCUGAUCCAGCCAUGCCGCGUGCGGGAAGAAGGCCUUCGGGUUGUAAACCGCUUUUGUUCGGGAAGAAAUCCUCUGGGCUAAUACCCCGGGGGGAUGACGGUACCGGAAGAAUAAGCACCGGCUAACUACGUG